UUCCGCUAGGCUGGUUACGGGUUGCUCUUUUGGCUGUGUUUUAUUUUUAAUUUUUAUUUGUUGUGUUUUCAUUUCUCAAUUCAUACUAUUUGAAUAAUUUAGAGGUUUGAUUAUAUCAUAAUUAUUUAACGUAUUAAGAGUAAGGGCAACGGAAAAGAGUUUGUUUACAAGUAAUGUGUAAAUUAAUAACAUCUUAUUUACCGACGUUUUAAGGCUUCAAACGAUUGGCUUAAUAUGUUGGCAUGAGAAUAUUCGAAGAAGUCUGAACUGAACUACUUAUCUAUUUUUAAUAUUUAUAACAACAAUGGUUCCAUUGUAAAAGCAUCCGAUUCUGUUCCUGGGCACUUUAAUAUUACAAAGGAGAGAUGACAAGUUGUGCAAUAAAAUGUUGCCGGAAUUAUGGUAAUUCUAUUGGAAAUGAAAAAAAGGUCACCUUUCACCAAGUUCCUUCCGAUCAAGCUAUGAGAAAUCGUUGGAUAACAAUAAUACGCAGCAGUCGUGAGGAACAAAAAUGGAAACCAUCGGCAAGAACCUGUAUAUGUUCUGAGCAUUUCCGUGACAGUGAUUUCUAUCGUGUCACUGCGACAGGUCGUCGUAGACUAAAAAAAUCUGUUAUCCCAACUCAGGCAUUAUUUUUUGCAUCUCUCAAACAUGACGGCGAAGAGUCGGAUGGAAGUGAGAAAGAUUCUGAUCCCUCUUCGGAAAAUAAUUCGAGUGACUUGAUGCCCAUCUCUCACACCGGUCCAAGUUUGUUUGUUACAGUAACAAGUUGUAAUGGAGAAGAAGAAACGGAUACAAUUGAAAAUGAAAAAUGUUCAGACGAUUCAGAUGAUAGUAGCACGGACAUUACCAUUGAGGAGAUACACUUUGAAGAUGAUUCGUCAGAUCUUGAUUCUGUUUACGAUACGCCAAAAGAAUCAAAAUUGCGAAGAGAAUUAAGAAGGAAAAUUGCACGCCAUCGAAAGCAUCUUAUUAAAAUAGAAAAACUCCAAAGAAAACACACGCGAGUGAAAACAAGAGUAUGUGAGUUAGAAAGCAUGAUUAAGGAAUUGAAAAAGAAGAAAAAGUAGAUAUUCUUGUGAUUGUGUGAUAGAUGUCAGUGUAGAAAAAAUAUACAUGAAACGAAUGCAAAACGACCAAAAAUAAUUCAUAAAUCUAUAUGAAUACAUGCCCAGAUGGUUAUUUUUUCUCUCUUUUCAGAUUGUCUGUUACUGAAUUGACUCCGGUACUAAUUAUUUUUGAGAGUUCGCUUCCGCUUAUUCUCUCUCAGAGUCCGAUUUGUUUCCGAAGCAGUAGUAGUAUAUAUUAGAAACGACAUCAAAAAGAAUUCUAAAGGAAUCAAUUUUGAGAAAAUAAAUGCCUUUAUGCCUA